rnacentral:tRNA from 1 species
AGUUAAAAAGCUUUUAGAAGCAUCAACCUCUUAAGUUGAAGAAGUUAUUAGUAACUUUAUCUG